rnacentral:miRNA from 1 species
UCUUCACCUGCCUCUGCCUGCA